rnacentral:lncRNA from 1 species
UAUCAUCCAAAAGUACAUAUAGUAUUACCCAAAUCAAUCGAAUUAAAUGUAUAUAUAACAUCAAUUCUACCCUUCAAAAACCUUAAUUUCCUAAUUACAUCAAUUCUAUCCACGAGUUCCCAAUUCUUAACCUUCUAAUUCGAACUGAUAAAGCUUGCAGGUGAUAAACAGUGCGCCAGUGGAUGAGGUGAUUUUGAUCCAAAUACACAUUGCCCUGUAUAUACAUACCUUCAAUGAAAUAUAAAGAAAAUAAAUUUUAUAAGAACUCCAAAUGUCAUAUUGAUAUAGAUAAAGAAGUGUAGCAACUUGUUCGAGGCCUUAAUCAAAUUAAUAAUAAGAAAAAGGCACGGAGAAUCGCUGUUUUAUAUUGCCAACCUUCAAUGCAAGUAAUUCGUCAUAAUCAUUUGACGUUCUUGCUCUGCAAAUUGGCAUAAGAAAUACCUAACCAAAUAUAUAUUUAUGAAAAAUAAAAUCGCAAAAAUCUCAUCAAAUAUAUAUAUAUAUGUAAUUUCUAGUAGUAUUUUGGUGGAUGAGCAUCUCAGAAAUAAUUUUCCCCGUAGAUUUCUUCAUUAACAUUCAAAGUGCAAGGAUAACAAAAUUAAUCAAAUCAUCAUCGUUGCUCAUCCCAAACAAAAGUCAAAAAAAUCAUCCGAAUAAAUUCCAUUGAAAAAUCAAAAAACAAAAAGAUGAAACUUUGGAUCUCAGCAAGGUAAGACUAUCUUCAAUUCCUUGUGGGAAAUUACAGAUAGAUAACGCAGAUUCUUCAUAACAUCAUCGAUCCGAUUCAAACAAUAGUCUAGUCUAUUCUUUAAGAUCAAUUAAAGAAGAAACAAAAGAAAAUAGUUGAAUAAUCAAAAAUAUGUAAACAGAUACUACACUAUAACUUACUCGGUCGAGAAAAAAUGGUAUGCCUCAAAUUAUGAACUCGGCGAAAUAGUAAAGCUUUAUAGCGAAACCAAUGCAGGAACCCUAAUGAUUUAGCUCCAAACUUUGGAAACUGAGAAGGGAGACGGGGUUUGGGCUAAAAUUGCUGGUCCAUAAAGCUUGG